UAGGGAAUAUUGGGCAAUGGACGGAAGUCUGACCCAGCCAUGCCGCGUGCAGGAAGAAGGCCUUCUGGGUUGUAAACUGCUUUUAUCUAGGAAGAAAACGCCCAUGCGUGGGAAACUGACGGUACUAGAUGAAUAAGCACCGGCUAACUCCGUGCCAGCAGCCGCGGUAAUACGGAGGGUGCAAGCGUUGUCCGGAUUUAUUGGGUUUAAAGGGUGCGUAGGCGGCUUUAUAAGUCAGUGGUGAAAUCCUGCAGCUUAACUGUAGAACUGCCAUUGAUACUGUCAAGCUUGAGUACAGACGAGGUAGGCGGAAUUGAUUGUGUAGCGGUGAAAUGCAUAGAUACAAUCAAGAACACCGAUUGCGUAGGCAGCUUACUAGGCUGUAACUGACGCUGAGGCACGAAAGCGUGGGGAGCAAACAGG
rnacentral:rRNA from 1 species